AAUCAACGCUGGCGGCGUGCCUAACACAUGCAAGUCGAACGCGAGAGGGGCUUCGGCCCUGAUUGAGUGGCAAACGGGUGAGUAACGCGUGGGUGACCUACCUUCGAGUGGGGGAUAACGUUCCGAAAGGGACGCUAAUACCGCAUAACAUCCUGUCUUUGGACAGAUGGAGAUCAAAGCCGGGAUCGUAAGACCUGGCGCUUGAGGAGGGGCCCGCGUCCGAUUAGCUAGUUGGUGGGGAAUGGCUCACCAAGGCAA
rnacentral:rRNA from 1 species